AGGCGCAGCGAGAACGGCAAGGGCGAAAGCCGACCAGCGACGCCGCGGAGGAGAAGGCCCGGGCGAAUCACGACGAGGGACGAAGACGGCCGGAACAACGGCGCAGGGACGGACCCGAGAGAAAGCCACGGCAACCC
rnacentral:rRNA from 1 species